UGCUGGGAGCUGCAAAAGCAACAAAUGCAGAAAGAUUAAUUGACUUGCCCGAAGUUAUAUUAAAUCAAGGCAAACUCCUGAGCAGAACCUGGGUCUCUGCUCCCCUGUUGCAAGGCAAAGUGGUUCCCGUGCUACUGCCCCAGUUUUGCCAGCCCUGGAGAAUCCAGCUUCCAUCGCCCUGCCGGGAACGCAGCGCAGUCACUGGGGUACUGCCCCAAUACCUUGGGGCCGCAGCUGCCUCCCUGCCAACAGCAGAGCAUUUCCCUGCACUUUUCACCCAGCAACUGGAUUAUUUAUUUUUAACUGCUGCUGUCAGAACUCAGGCCAAAGAUUGAAGUUUCCCCCACUUCCCCCUUCCUUCAAGAUCCCUAAAUCACUCAGACCAUUACACGGAGGAUCUUGAAAACCCAUACUUACUUGGGGUGUCCGAUUACAGGCUUUGAUGCGCUUUUUUAGCCCAGAAAGAGGCAAGAAUGACAACACCAUGUGGGCAGGACAGCUGCUGCGGUUCAAUGGGUCCAGGGGAGACCGAGGAGCUCCAGAGAUCAGCAGCGAAAUCAGACAGGCUCACACGGAAACGAAGGCACAGCAGCACUCACCACAGCAGGGGGCAAAGGAGGAACCGCCCGGAGCGGGCAUCGGCAAGGGAUGGGUCCCAGGCUCAAAGCUAUGCAUGCAUAUGCCAUCUUGCACCUUGUGCGGAGCAAUCUGUUUGGCAAAAAGUCACACUUACAAGUGGAAAAUAAGAGGACGAUACCGGCCCUGCUGAA